CCAUCAGCUUGUUGGUGAGGUAAUGGCUCACCAAGGCGACGACGGGUAGCCGGCCUGAGAGGGUGACCGGCCACACUGGGACUGAGACACGGCCCAGACUCCUACGGGAGGCAGCAGUGGGGAAUAUUGCACAAUGGGCGCAAGCCUGAUGCAGCGACGCCGCGUGAGGGAUGACGGCCUUCGGGUUGUAAACCUCUUUCAGUAGGGAAGAAGCGAAAGUGACGGUACCUGCAGAAGAAGCACCGGCUAACUACGUGCCAGCAGCCGCGGUAAUACGUAGGGUGCGAGCGUUAUCCGGAAUUAUUGGGCGUAAAGAGCUCGUAGGCGGUUUGUCGCGUCUGCCGUGAAAGUCCGGGGCUUAACUCCGGAUCUGCGGUGGGUACGGGCAGACUAGAGUGCAGUAGGGGAGACUGGAAUUCCUGGUGUAGCGGUGGAAUGCGCAGAUAUCAGGAGGAACACCGAUGGCGAAGGCAGGUCUCUGGGCUGUAACUGACGCUGAGGAGCGAAAGCAUGGGGAGCGAACAGGAUUAGAUACCCUGGUAGUCCAUGCCGUAAACGUUGGGCACUAGGUGUGGGGGCCAUUCCACGGUUUCCGCGCCGCAGCUAACGCAUUAAGUGCCCCGCCUGGGGAGUACGGCCGCAAGGCUAAAACUCAAAGGAAUUGACGGGGGCCCGCACAAGCGGCGGAGCAUGCGGAUUAAUUCGAUGCAACGCGAAGAACCUUACCAAGGCUUGACAUGUUCUCGUUCGCCGUAGAGAUACGGUUUCCCCUUUGGGGCGGGUUCACAGG
rnacentral:rRNA from 1 species